rnacentral:rRNA from 1 species
AAUGGGCGAAAGCCUGACGAAGCAACGCCGCGUGAGGGAUGAAGGCCUCUGGGCUGUAAACCUCUUUUAUCAAGGAAGAAGAUCUGACGGUACUUGAUGAAUAAGCCACAGCUAAUUCCGUGCCAGCAGCCGCGGUAAUACGGGAGUGGCAAGCGUUAUCCGGAAUUAUUGGGCGUAAAGCGUCCGCAGGCGGCCCUUCAAGUCUGCUGUUAAAAAGUGGAGCUUAACUCCAUCAUGGCAGUGGAAACUGUUGGGCUUGAGUGUGGUAGGGGCAGAGGGAAUUCCCGGUGUAGCGGUGAAAUGCGUAGAUAUCGGGAAGAACACCAGUGGCGAAGGCGCUCUGCUGGGCCAUCACUGACGCUCAUGGACGAAAGCCAGGGGAGCGAAAGGGAUU